UGACGGGUUCUGGUGACCCUCCU
rnacentral:snRNA from 1 species